UACGUAGGGUGCAAGCGUUGUCCGGAAUUAUUGGGCGUAAAGAGCUUGUAGGCGGUUUUUCGCGUCUGCUGUGAAAUCUCAAGGCUCAACCUUGAGCUUGCAGUGGGUACGGGCAGACUAGAGUGUGGUAGGGGAGACUGGAAUUCCUGGUGUAGCGGUGAAAUGCGCAGAUAUCAGGAGGAACACCGAUGGCGAAGGCAGGUCUCUGGGCCACUACUGACGCUGAGAAGCGAAAGCAUGGGGAGCGAACAGG
rnacentral:rRNA from 1 species